AGGGGUGGGAUUCAGAUUUUUUAACAACCAGUUCUGUGGGUGUGGCUUAGUUGGUGGGCAUGGCUUGGUGGUCAUGUGACUGGCUGGGCAUGGCCAACUCAGCAUCACUCACAUCGGGGCACGCAUCUCACCUGGCGUCAGUCGUAACUGUGGGGAUGCUGGAA